rnacentral:rRNA from 1 species
AGAGUUUGAUCCUGGCUCAAGAUGAACGCUGGCGGCAUGCCUAAUACAUGCAAGUCGAACGAGAGGAAGGAAAGCUUGCUUUUCUGAAUCUAGUGGCGAACGGGUGAGUAACACGUAGGUAACCUGCCCAUGUGCCCGGGAUAACUUCUGGAAACGGAUGCUAAAACCGGAUAGGUAGCAGACAAGCAUUUGACUGCUAUUAAAGUGGCUAAGGCCAUGAACAUGGAUGGACCUGCGGUGCAUUAGCUAGUUGGUGAGGUAACGGCCCACCAAGGCGACGAUGCAUAGCCGGCCUGAGAGGGCGGACGGCCACAUUGGGACUGAGACACGGCCCAAACUCCUACGGGAGGCAGCAGUAGGGAAUUUUCGUCAAUAGGGGGAACCCUGAACGAGCAAUGCCGCGUGAGUGAAGAAGGUCUUCGGAUCGUAAAGCUCUGUUGUAAGAGAAAAACGACAUUCAUAGGGAAUGAUGAGUGAGUGAUGGUAUCUUACCAGAAAGUCACGGCUAACUACGUGCCAGCAGCCGCGGUAAUACGUAGGUGGCGAGCGUUAUCCGGAAUGAUUGGGCGUAAAGGGUGCGUAGGUGGCAGAACAAGUCUGGAGUAAAAGGUAUGGGCUCAACCCGUACUGGCUCUGGAAACUGUUCAGCUAGAGAACAGAAGAGGACGGCGGAACUCCAUGUGUAGCGGUAAAAUGCGUAGAUAUAUGGAAGAACACCGGUGGCGAAGGCGGCCGUCUGGUCUGUUGCUGACACUGAAGCACGAAAGCGUGGGGAGCAAAUAGGAUUAGAUACCCUAGUAGUCCACGCCGUAA